rnacentral:lncRNA from 1 species
UCUCCCAGGUCUGGUCUGAAUUUGGGAGGGCUGACUUGCCUAAUUUUAGAGGUGUUGUGCCCAAGAGGAAUGGAGGCCGGGUUUCCUUGCUUCUUUACCAAUCUACUUAUCGGUUUCCUGUUCAACUCCCUUCCUUUGCUUAAUUUGACUUUAGAUAAAUGUCACACUCCAGUAAAGAGACUUUAAGAAUUACUCAGUAAUCAAACCAUGUGAAUUCAAUGGUCUGCACGCUUGGAAUCUUAAGAAACUGCUGAUGAUGACAUUGGCUGCCUCGGUUUUAGGAACUGCCAGAAAUAGCCACUAACCAAGAGAAAGAGAGCAAGGACUAGCCCUGAAUAAUUGGUCAACGAUGCUGAUUUCGUUGGUUUCCUGUUCCUUUUGCUUCCUGGAAAAUACAGACCUACAAAGCAAACAUUGUGUGUGGGUUGAUGCUACAGCAUCGUC